CAAUUCAGAGCAUCAUUUUCACCUGGAUACGGGAGGAGAGCAGAGACACGUGCACACAACGUACUCCUGCUAAGUCCCAGCAUGGCCUUGCAUAUCGCGCUUGAUCAGCUACAACAUACUCAGGAAAGUCUUCAAAAGGUGCUACAGGUGCCUCAGAGUCCGGACCAACAGACUGAAAAAUUUCUUCUGUUCUUGCUUUUCGUCUGUGGCUGUUACUGCACUGAGCAGCUGAUCAUGCAGUGUUAACUAAUACACCACUGUACUGUCACUUUCUGUUUAUAUUGACUGCUUCGCCCACUGUGCAUCUUUGCACCAUCCAUAACUUAUGCUUAUCAUUGCACUAUUGUAUAUCCACAAUGCUAACUGCAUUUAAUUGGCUCUGUACAUUUACCUUGCCCAGUGACAAUAAAGUUGAAUCUAAUCUAAUCUGUUUGUUUAGUCAGUCCUGAAUUUAUGUUUUUCAUUUCUUUCUUAGCAGGUUUUGUGUGGAUUGUAGAGAACUUGGAAUAGAGAACAUGGCAGUGCAGUUCAUUGCUUAUUAUUCUGUAUAGUCAUUGUCUCUGCUGCUUCUAGGUCAUGCUGCUACUUAUUUCUUUUUUUACCGUUCUUAUGAUUAUUCUAAGAACAUGGUGCACUGUCAGAAUGAUUAGUUGUGCCUCUAUGAAUUUUCCAACUGCCUAAUAUUUAACUGAUUGUACUGAUGGGGGUGUUUAAGGUCUUUGUUUUGGCUCUGUAGGUUUCCAAUUGAGUGUUGCUUUUAAUAUUGUUGUUUCUGAGAACAAUAUAAUGUCCCGAUCACCAUUGAUACGAUUGCUACGUGUUGCAUGAAAUCAACUCAACCAGUGGCAAUGUCUCUUAUAAUGAAACCAUGUGUGUUUUUUAUAAGCAUUUAUAUUAAGUUCUU